rnacentral:lncRNA from 11 species
UUUUGAAAUAUUCUUGGAGGGAUUUACAGUCUUUGCAAUCUGAUCAAAAUGUAGAAGGACUCAUUUAAGACGAGUUGCUGCAAUCUCUUCUAGGGGCUGUAGUGUUCUGGCAUGGGAACAGCAAUACAUCCUAAUAUAAUAGGAAAAAAGGACAAGCGGUCACUAUGUCACUUCCCUUUCCAUAAAUGAUGCAGUGAUUCAUGGUUCUGGGGUGAGAAAUGGUGGAAUAUAAAUAAAUAGGGAGGAAUGAGCAAUCUUCUCUGCAGAGACAACAUUAUGUCAUGUUGAAGUACCAUGAUCCUGGAUAUUGAAAUCUGGAUGAACUAUCCUGGAGCAAUGACACCAUCUAAUACUAGAACAAGGAUGACUAAAUUAUCUGAUAUGUGUAACCACAGCUUCAAUAUCUCUUAGCAUGGGAAUGCUGGGUAAGACUGAUGGAAAUUCCAGUGCAACAACAUCCAACAAAAGAAAGAAAAAGAAAACAAAAAAACACCACUUUAGUGUAAGUAUAAAGGUAUAAGGUUGCUUAA